rnacentral:rRNA from 1 species
GUAAAGCUCCUUCGACGAGUCGAGUAGUUUGGGAAUGCUGCUCUAAUUGGGAGUUAAAUUUCUUCUAAAGCUAAAUACCGGCCAGAGACCGAUAGCGCACAAGUAGAGUGAUCGAAAGAUGAAAAGCACUUUGAAAAGAGGGUUAAAUAGCACGUGAAAUUGUUGAAAGGGAAGCGUUUACGACCAGACUUUUUCCAGGCGGAUCAUCCGGUGUUCUCACCGGUGCACUUCGCCUGGUUUAGGCCAGCAUCGGUUUUCGUAGGGGGAUAAAAGCUUCGGGAAAGUAGCUCCCUCGGGAGUGUUAUAGCCCGUUGCAUAAUACCCUUAUGGGGACCGAGGAUCGCGCUCUGCAAGGAUGCUGGCAUAAUGGUCGUCAACGACCCGUCUUGAAACACGGACCAAGGAGUCGAACAUUUGUGCGAGUGUUUGGGUGUUAAACCCUCACGCGUAAUGAAAGUGAACGGAGGUGAGAGCCCUUACGGGUGCAUCAUCGACCGAUCCUGAUGUCUUCGGAUGGAUUUGAGUAAGAGCAUAACUGUUCGGACCCGAAAGAUGGUGAACUAUGCGUGGAUAGGGUGAAGCCAGAGGAAACUCUGGUGGAGGCUCGCAGCGGUUCUGACGUGCAAAUCGAUCGUCAAAUCUGCGCAUGGGGGCGAAAGACUAAUCGAACCAUU